CUCCUUGACGUUAGCGGCGGACGGGUGAGUAACACGUGGGUAACCUACCUAUAAGACUGGGAUAACUUCGGGAAACCGGAGCUAAUACCGGAUAAUAUUUCGAACCGCACGGUUCGAUAGUGAAAGGUGGUUUUGCUAUAACUUAUAGAUGGACCCGCGCCGUAUUAGCUAGUUGGUAAGGUAACGGCUUACCAAGGCGACGAUACGUAGCCGACCUGAGAGGGUGAUCGGCCACACUGGAACUGAGACACGGUCCAGACUCCUACGGGAGGCAGCAGAU
rnacentral:rRNA from 1 species